AUGAGCCUUGUUAUCUGCAGUGCGAUAAGGGAGUUCAGCUUUCAAAGUGGCUCCACAAGUGACACAGUGCUCACUGUCCCAGAGCCCAGGGUGAAUUGCUUGGAGCAGGAAUUCAUCCCGAGCUCUGCAAGGCUCAGCAGGCUCUUUCCGUCCUGUGCACCAUCCCCGGGUGUAGGAGGUUUUGUGCCGGAGUGCUUGUCCCCGGGCAAGCCCGGGGCGUUAGGACACGGCGUCAUUAGCACUAAUUCAAGGUCUUUGAAGGCUACUGAGAGCAGCAGCCGCCGCCGAGCCCAGCUGGGCGCUCGGACCCCACUGCGAGACUGCUGUUACGGGGCGAGGGGACGUGGCUGCAGGGUGGCCGAAAGGCUCCGGCGUUCCCAGCUCGGCCGUGGCGGCGGAAAGGCCGUGGCAGAGCGCCCCGCAGGAGGGCGCAGCGGCGGCUUGGCGGCGGCGGGAGGAAAUCGGGGCCCUUCCCGGCCGCGGGCAYGGCMCGGCCCGGCCCGGCAGGUUGCGCCAAGCACGGGGAGAGGCCGCGGUGCCACCGCAGGCCGCGCGGGAGGUGGGUGCUUUUUUCCCCUUUGGCUGCCGUCGCCUCCCGGCACACACUGUGCUGCUGACUUCAUGGAAAUAAAGCUCCAUUAUCCCAGUGCAAACAGGAGCUGGGCCCGUUCCAGGGAACAGCGGGAGCUGCCGCUCACCUGGCGCAGGGACGAGGGCUGUGUGCCGAGCGGGAGGGAGGGCAAACAUCCCGCACCAGGGGGAGCGGGAUGGAGGGGCUGUGUGCCGGAGGGGCGGAAACGAAGCGGCGAAGCGCAGCGCGACUCUUCCUCUCGCCUCCCUCCGUCUUUGCCAGCUGCUGGGUUCGCAGGCUGCCGACAGGCACGAGUUGGUCCAGGCGCUCCUUUGGCAGGGGAAGGCUUGGAGCUAACCCGACCUGCCAGGAGAGGGCCAGCAGAACCCACGGAGUCUCCUCCAGGCCGCCGGUGUGUCCGGACGCCCGCGGCUGGAGGCUCUCGGCGGACAAGCGGACGUGCUGGGGCAGAACCCAGCGCCUCGCAGGCGGGACCCAGUCGGACUUGGAGGGGGCGGAGGAGGGAGACGGUCAGCUCGGAGCAGGGUCUCUGCUCGGGGUCCUUGUCCCCRACUCAGGCGUUAGGCACCACGGAGGGUGAUGCUGAGAGUAAUAACCCAGCAAGACGGCAUGGUUCCCGCGGGGGACGUGUGUGGCACCUGCUCCCAGGCCACCCACCCCAGCCACCGUCACGCCGUGCCCCGGCUGGGGACCUGGAAAGGACUGGGGAGCUUCCUGGGCAGCACUGGCCRGGACCGGGCACGAAGGCCAGCCUUCGGCAAACCCGGAAAAGCUCCCCGGCUUGGCCUGAAGGGUUCACCCCACGUUUGAUCUAG
rnacentral:lncRNA from 1 species